AUGGAGACAGAUUGUAUGGAGAUCGUUGAUCUCUGGAACUCGCGCCAUGUUCAUCGAGCUGUGGUGGCGCCUAUCUUGACCGAAAUUGGGGAGCACGCUUCUAGUUUCUCUUUGUUUUUUGUUCAACAUGUUCAUAGGUCAGCAAACUUUUCUGCCCAUCAUUGUGCAAAGCAAGCUAGCACUUUGGAGGUUACAGAUUGUUGGCUAGAUAUCACCCCUAGUUUUCUUGUAACUAGUGAAAGGAUCGAUAUAGUUGACUAG
rnacentral:rRNA from 1 species